rnacentral:lncRNA from 1 species
UCAAAGGACCAAUCUGAGCAAAUCAAGAUCGGGCUAUCAAGCAAACAGCCAACAGCCAAGAGGAAAGAUUGAAAUUGAAGUGAAGCUCAAUGAAGCUUGAGGUUGAUCUGAGAAAGCCAACUAAAGGCAAACUAGCUAAGAUGGGGUAAUAUGAUUUUAAUUAUCUAUUUUCUUUACUCCAAAGCUAAAAAUUUGGAAGGCCCAACCAGAGCCAGUCCAAGCAGUUCUCUCAUCUUUUAUGUACAGAUCUAUAACUUAAAAUCUUGAUGAUUAAGAAGCAAGGGCUAACCUACAA